rnacentral:rRNA from 1 species
UACGUAGGGACCAAGCGUUGUUCGGAUUUACUGGGCGUAAAGGGCGCGUAGGCGGCAAUUUCAAAGUCAUCUGUGAAAUCUCCGGGCUUAACUCGGAACGGUCAGAUGAUACUGCUUUGCUCGAGUGCGGAAGGGGGCAAUCGGAAUUCUUGGUGUAGCGGUGAAAUGCGUAGAUAUCAAGAGGAACACCUGAGGUGAAGACGGGUGCUGGGCCGACACUGACGCUGAAGCGCGAAAGCCAGGGGAGCAAACGGG